UCCCAAAAUGUCAUUUAAAAAAAAAACAAUAUUAAAUUUUUUUUAAAAAAAAGAUUCGGGUGUGAGUAUUUUUACAAAUUCUCUUGAUCAACAACUAAAUACUUGCAAAUUUUUUUCUAAAAAAAAUUAUCGGUAUUUUGGGAAUUUUGAUACCCCUCCGUUAGGAAUUGAAAUGGAAAAAGAAAAAAUUGAAAAAUGAAUAUACUAAAUUGACACUUUUUAAAGUUAAAAGGGUAUGAGUGAAAAAAUGAUGAAACAUCAGGGGUGGUGAGUGAAGUUUUCUCUUAUAUUUAAUAUAUGAGAGAUGUGAAGCUACUCACAAUGAUUCUAUCAUCCAUAUGAUCUGCUUAACUGGGGACCUGUUUUUGUACAAGUCCUAUUUUGUUACCGUAACUGACGCUUGUUCCCUUGCUAUUAUAUUAUAGAAUUGGGAGAGAACUUCAGUGCUACCUUGGAAUACCCUACUACCACUUUCUUUCUUUUCUGGGAACUUUCCCCUUUAUACUUUCUCUUGGUGUGUAACUGCUAAUCACUAGUAGCACAUGGCCUGUUUCACUCUGUAACUUAGGCAUAAAGACUUAUAUGUAUGCUUGUAAUGUGGAUGCCCAUAUAGGAUAGCAUGGCAAUGCAUUUAUGGGACUGCUGAUUGAGCAGACAUGGCAUGGAAUUAUUGGGGAGUUCAUAAGAAAAUAAACAUAUUAUUAAAAAAAUUAUCUGUCUGACUUACGGGUUCCAUACAAAAUUAAACAGCAUCCAAUGGUUUUUUUCAUUCUCAAGAAGUGUGAUUAAUUGAAGUUAGUACUUUUGAACUAUGGCUGCUGAGUGAAUGUACUCAGGGUUGAUUAUGGAAUGAGUAAUGCUAAAAAAAUGUACUCCUUGUGUCCCUCCAAAAAUGAUGUAGCUUUUAAAAUCACUAUUAAAUCAAAAUCCAAUAGUGAUUUAUCACAAAUCCAAUAGUAAUUUUAAAACCCACAUCAAUUUUAAAGGACACAAGGAGGACAUGUAGCAUUACUCGGCACAAGAUAUUUUGGUUUUCUGACUUUUACAAGUGAUGGUUAACUCAACUACCUACUCUUUUGCCCUUACUACAAAUGUCUGUAAUCCAAAUUCUGUGAACAUAAGUUUCCUUUAUUAGUGAAGGAAGACAUGUUUUUUUUUGUUUGUUUGUCUCAAUUGCCUUGUUAGAUGCCAUUCUAGUGAACUUCAGAGGUUGUAUCCCUUUGAGCAUGCUGGUGAUAAUAUGGAUGUUCGCCAAAUGAGAGUCAUAUUGGUGUCUAAAAAACUCUGUUUCUUUCCCUAGUCUUCAGGUGUUGUAUAGUAAUUUUGCUUUGAAGAACUUGGACUCUUGUUUGAGUGUAAUUCUUCUUUUUAAUCAUUCAGCCUUUCGUUUUAUAUUUGGACAAUUGUGUUUGUAGCUCCUUUAGAGCAUUCCCAAUAGAGGAGCUAAAUUUUUAUGCAAAAUAGUUCCUCAAAACUCACUUUAUCUAGUUUAGCUAAUGAAUUUUUAAAGGCCUCCUACAUCCGAUUAGCUAUAUUUUUAUCUAUAUAUCAUUUAAAUAUUUUUUUAUUAAAAAUUGUGAAAGAAUAUUCUCAUAAUGAUCCUUUGAAAAGUGGAAAAAGUUUUUAGAAAAAGAAAAAACAAGUGAGAAACAAUAAAAAAUAAAAUAGCUCCCUUGAAAAGUGUUGUUACAUGUAGCUUUUCUUUGGGGCUAAUCCAAUCAAAUAUCCAUUUUGCAUUUUUUUUGGCUAAGCCAAUGUGGGGUGUUUUUUACAAAUCUGAUUAGUCAUUUUAGAUAAAAAUACCAUUUGGCUCCUUCAUUGGGAAUGCUCUUAGAGAUUAGUUUUCUUGAUUUUUUUAUUAUUUUUUCUCCUUCUAUCUAGGUGUUUCUCUCAUAUACUUGUCUACUUUAGUUGUACUUUUGCUUUUAAUGAUAUUUCAAUUAUGCAUAUAAAAAAAUAGGAGUGGAGGUGACUAUUCAAUGCACAACAAAUGCAUUGACGUGCAUAGGAAUAUUUGUGUUAUAUCUAUUUGCGUUUUUGAUUUGUUGUUGCUUCUCUUUUAUGAUCUUACAGCUUUCACCUUUCAUAAUUAGCGAGUGUUCAUCUUGUUAUCCAUUAUUUCUUUUAAUGUUAGGUACUUGAAGCAACUGUGUUUCAUUUCUUUAGUUGGAUGCACUUUAGCUGUGAAUUGGUCGCAUUUGUGGAGUUUUGGACAUGAAGAAAUUUGAUUCAUAAUGGAGCAGUCGGUUGAUUAUGAUGCUCACAAAGAUCUUCAAGUCAAAAGAUGGAGUUCCUGAGGCUGUGUUGAUGAUGAGAAGUUUAGCUGAUCCUAUGGAAGGUGAAUUUUUCAUGAAUCUGAGUACUCAGUCAAUUUCACAUUGAAAGUAAGUGAAUCUCCUACCAUUCUUAAAACCAAGCGGUUUUACUGACUUGAAGAACUUAGUAUUAGUAUUUGGAUAAAUGUUUAUAUGGAAAAGAUGCGGACAUGGAAGCAGUUGCACCUCUAGAGGAGAUCACUUGGUCCAUUACUAAUGCAUGGUAAUGGAGAUUGAUAUCCUAACUUAACAUGUGCUACUCGAUAAUGAGAAUAGAAUUUUGUCUUACA